GAUGAACGCUGGCGGCGUGCCUAAUACAUGCAAGUCGAGCGAACGGACGAGAAGCUUGCUUCUCUGAUGUUAGCGGCGGACGGGUGAGUAACACGUGGAUAACCUACCUAUAAGACUGGGAUAACUUCGGGAAACCGGAGCUAAUACCGGAUGAUAUUUUGAACCGCAUGGUUCAAAAGUGAAAGACGGUCUUGCUGUCACUUAUAGAUGGAUCCGCGCUGCAUUAGCUAGUUGGUAAGGUAACGGCUUACCAAGGCAACGAUGCAUAGCCGACCUGAGAGGGUGAUCGGCCACACUGGAACUGAGACACGGUCAAGACUACUACGGGAGGCAGCAGUAGGGAAUCUGCCGCAAUGGGCGAAAGCCUGACGGAGCAACGCCGAGUGAGUGAUAAAGGUCUUCGGAUCGUAAAACUCUGUUAUUAGGGAAGAACAUAUGUGUAAGUAACUGUGCACAUCUUGACGGUACCUAAUCAGAAAGCCACGGCUAACUACGUG
rnacentral:rRNA from 1 species